rnacentral:lncRNA from 1 species
CUCCCUCCUCCUCCUCCUCCUCUCUCCUCUCACCUUCUCCGUUCCCACGCCCACGCCCACGCCCACGCCGACCCCGCUGGUGCGGAGCACGUGCAACGCCACCACAUACUACGACCUCUGCGUCGCCUCCCUCUCCUCCGACCCCGCCGCCGCCGCCGCGCGCGACCCCACCGCGCUCUCCUCCAUCCUCGUCUCCCGCGCCGCCGCCGACGCCGCCAACGCCUCCGCCGCCGCCGCCUCCCUCGCCGGCGCCGCCGCCGCCGCUGAGCCCUCCGCCGCCGCGCUCCGCGCCUGCGCCGCCAAGUACGCCGCCGCGCGCGACGCCCUCGGCCGCGCGCUCGCCGCCCUCGCCGCCGCCGAGUACGACUACGCCUUCGUCCACGUCGGCGCCGCCGCCGAGUACCCCCGCGCCUGCCGCGCGCUCUUCCGGCGCCAGGCCCCGCGCCUCGCCUUCCCCGCCGAGAUCGCGCGGCGCGAGGACGCGCUCGAGCGCCUCUGCACCGACGCGCUCGACAUCAUCACGCUCCUCGGCGACUAAAGAAAUGCAGCGUAGCUGGAGAUGCAUACAAUCUACUUGAUUAUAAUACAAUACGCGGCACUGUAGUUAUAAAUAAUUUAUUUAAUUACAUACAGUCGAGAACUUAUGUUUAUAUAUUUUAUUAUUUUUUAAUAUGUAAUGAUGAGGUUAUCUUUAAUGUAAACAAAUUAUAUUUUGUGUUGAAGUUACACUUUCCAGCUUUGUGAAUUAAUUUCAAAUUUAUCAAACUAAAUACGCUGUGUAAUUAUAACUAAAUACAACUAACAUAGCUUUUAAUUAAUGGCCUAUUUGGUUCACAAUAUCUUUUGAUGCCUUAAAAUGGGAACCCUAAUAAAGUGAGCGUCGGAAUUAUAAAAUUUUAUGUUUGUUUCAUCAUAGAAAUCUGAUAUGAUAGAAAUUAAAAAUUUUUGUAAAAUUCUGUAAUUUCUUUAAACGUGGAAUUUAAAAACCCAUCUCAACACUAGGUAUCCUUUUCCGAUAAAUUUUGAUUUAAAAAGGCUAUAAUACUUUUGUCCAAAUUUUAUAUCUAUCACAAAAAUUUAUAUAAAUUGAGUAUAAAAAUUAAAUAAAGUUAUAAAUUUCCUAAAUUUAGGAGUAUUUAAAUAGAUUUAAUAUUCAAAUAGUCAUGAUUUUUAUGUGAUUAACUUAAUGUAAAUGAUAAUAUUAGUCUCCACAAAAAGAAAUAUUGUACUAAUUUUAUUAACAUAGUUGGACAAAAUCUUUGGUGGAGUCAAUACAAAAAUAAUAUAUUUUUGUGUAUUAAUUCUAAAAUAUAGAGUCCGGUUACUAUACUAUCGAUAGUACCUUGCGCUCGAUGCUAUCGAAUUUUUCGCUGCCAGAACUACUCCUUUAAUCAUUUCUACUCGUUACAUCAUAAAAUUCAACUAAUCACUCUCAUAACUCUAAGAGAUUAUUAUCAUCCUAAACCGCACAUCCAUUCAUCCAAGGGCCGAAAACCGAAUAGCAUAAUACUAUUAAUAAUAUAGUAAUCUAAUUCCUAUAUAUCAAAAAAAAAAAUUUCAUGCAACAGAAAUUCUAUAAUAUGAAUAAAUUUUUUAAAUAUUAAUUUUAAGUGAAUAAGUUAAAUCCUAUGAAUUAGGCAUGCCUCAUUGUGCCACCACAUAUGAUAUGUACUACAUUAAAUAGUUGAUAAUUUUUUGUUUUGAUAUUUAUUUAUAGUGAACAUGGUACACUUGCACACACACACUAGUUAGGUUUUUUUUUUCUCUUUGUUGAGAGACAAAAUUAGAGUACAUAUUAGAGUACAUAUUAUUAUCUCUCCAAAGUGCUUAUUUAGUCUAAGCCUAGGUUGUUGUUCUGUGUUUUUUUUUUUUCAAUCUUCUUUUUACACACUAGCUAGGUUUUUUUAAUAUUCUUUUUCACAAUGUUUCAUAAUGUUUCAUAAUGUUUCUAAUAAGUCAACCAAAAUCCGGAAUUUUCUCCCUCUGUCCCUCUCCAUCAAUUUUUUUUUAAUAAAAGACAGAGUAUCCUAGCUAGUGUAUAAUUCUUAAUUUGUCGUAAUUGUUUAGAGAAUUAUAUAACCAAAGCUCUCUUUUUCUACUCUGUUAAAUAUAAAUAUUAAAAAUAUUAUUUUUUGAUAGUUUAAUUUUUUUAAAAAAAUAUUUAUUUUAAUAAUUUAACAUGAUAUCAGAAUGAAAGCUGCAAAGUUUUAAUCCCAUCAAAUUCUUAAUAUCAUUUAUUUAUUUUUCUAUUUAAAUAGUAAAAUUAUAGCUUUUUUUUCAAUAUAUAUAUUCAUCCAAAGUGGGAGACCCAAUUCCUCAAAUUAGAACUAGGGUAAGUCAUAAAGAAAAGUUGAAAAUUUGGUGCCUACUAUUUGGCCCUACUAGCUUUUAAAUGGAAUUUUCUUAAUAUUAGGAGGAGUACUUCUCAUUGAUAGUUAGUGCUUACUAGCCUACCACAUAAGAUGCUUUAACACUUGUGUUGGCAUUUGACUCUUUGGUGGUCUCGUUGACCACUUGCAUUGACCUUGUCUUCCUUAGAUCAUAGCAAUUCUACAAAAUAAAAACCCUAAAAUACUGUAGCAUAUAUAUUUCAACUCACUGUUCGCAGGUCAAUUUGUGUUCUGCUCGAAAAUGAGCUCAAGUGCAACACUCAAAUACUCUAGCAAAUUUAAGCAGGACUGAUAAUUUAACUCAUUGUUCGCAGGUCAGGUCGUGUCCGACUCGAAAUGAAUUCAAAAUCAAUUGCCAGUGUAGUAAAUAAGACGAACAUAAUUUAGGGUCAGUUCACUCUUGUACAGCUCCUUAACAACCUUUACAUAUAAAAAUAAUUUUUUUAAAAAAAAUAAAAAAGUAAUCACUCCACCACUGGCAAGACAACCUUUAAUCGCCUACGGGGACCCAACCUGUGAAAUAUAAAGUCGUAAGGUUGACAGAUCUAAAAAGUAAGUCUACCAAAAUUAAGUUAGGGAAGAAGCCACUGGAAUGAAAAGAAUUGGUGUAGAACCUUCUAGACACAUAAACUAUAUUUUUAUAAAAAACUAAAAAUAAAAAAAUGCCACACUCUAUUUUAUAAAGGUGAAAAUAUAAAGAACUUAUCUGAACUAUAAAUCAUUUUGAGCUUGUUAUCUGAUCUUUUAAAAUUUUAAUUUUAGUAUUUUACUACUCAAUCUUUCUAUUUGUUUACUUUGAGCCAUUCAACGUCACUUUGAUUUCAAAUUCGAAUACGCCGUUUAUCUUUCAAACAAGUUAAAGAUUGGGCAAUAGUCUGCAAUCUAAUUUAAAAUGAUUCAUAGUUCAGAUAAAACAAGUAGAGGAUCGAAACCUCAACUUCUUAACUAAUUUAGAAAACCUCAAAAGGUUCAUUCAUUCACUACAAAUUAGAAACAAGCAUUAGUUCACUACACCACCACUUCCCGGUCGAACAACCAACUAAACCGGACCCUCCUGGGCCGGGCCUUCGCGGCCCGAUCCUCGGCCCGUUCCUGUACCUUCCUCAUCCUCGGGCCCAGCUCGCAUAUAAAAUCGCGGGCCCUCCGGCCCUCUCCGCUCAGUCCUCUCUCCAACUGCUGCAGUUUCCAUCUGUCGACUAAAAACUCUACUAUCCCGGCGUAGUCGCCCGCGGUGUAUACCCCGAUCUUUUGGGCCACUGCAGAGAAGUUCUCGAACAGCCGCGCGUCCCGGCCGUCGUGCAUGAGGUGCGCCGGCAUUGCGAUGCGCUUGCGCAUCAUGUCGGCGAUGGCAAUCACCGCGCCAUCCGGGUCGAGCUCCAGGAGCUGCUCCACGAUGCGCUCGUACGCGUGCUCGUGCCGCUUCUCGUCGGCGGCGAUGGUGCCGCAGAGCCGGGCCAGGACGGCGUCGCCGCGGGCCUUGGCGAGCCGGGCCGUGUUGCCGUGCGAGACGAACGUGGCCCGCUCCUGGAACGACGUGUAGACGUAGCCCAAGUAGGGGUUGUUCUCCGUGCCGGGGUCCUGAAAAACGGCCCAAAAGGCCCAAUAGUGAAUUUAUGAUUAUACUUGGGCCAGGCCCAAAAGGCCCAUUGGGCCAGAGUAACUAAGCAGUACAUUGGUAUACUCCCAUGUUAGGAAAUAGAGGGUCACUUUAUCAAUCAAUUUGAUGAGUAUUGUUUUUUACUUUUUCUAUUUUUUUAAAAAAAUUGUGUCCAUGGCAAAAUUAUGUACCGUUUAAUAGUGAACCGAUUAAGCUUUUUGACUUUAUAUAUAUCAGGAAAUUAACGGCUAAUAGUCAAAAUUUGUACUUAACACAACCCAAAAAAAUAGUCAAAAAAUUCUCUAUAAAAAAUGGGAAAAAAUUAUUGUGCUCAAAAGUCUAAACUAAGGACAUUAUUCAAACAACCUUUUCGUCAAAUAUCAUCAACAGCAUUAACUUUUUUAAAAAAAGGGAUUGUCCCCGAGCUGUUCAUAUAACUUUAAGAUUCAUGUUAUUGGUAAAUAGAAUAGAAAAUUGUUCCUAUGAAAAGACAAUCUAAUCAAACUGUCCAUCAAUUUGUGCAUUGUAUAUGAUGACCGCUUGAUUAGACUUUCUAUUUUAGGGGCUAAGCGACGUGGGUGCAUGCAUGCAUGCUCUUACGUACCAUUCCCGCGCCGACGAGGUACUGCACCGUCUUUUCGACCAUCCGCAUGUCGACGCGGCCGGAGAGGUACAGGUACUUCCCGAGCGCAUCACCGUGCCGGUUCUCCUCGGCGGUCCACGCCCGCGUCCACACCGCCCACGGGCUCGCGCUGGCCCCGGUCUCGUCCCGCACCCCGUCCAGCGUGUUGAUCAUCGUCUGGUACGUCGGCAGCGCCUCCUCCGUCACCAUGUCCCCCACAAGCACUGCAAGUAGCUCGUCGGGCAAUUGCGCCGACCGGGCCCUCAAUUCCCGAACCUGGGCCCCAAACUCCUCCGUGGGCCGGGCCGAGUCCGGCAGGAAGUCCGUGGGCUGCCAGCAUUGGUCCACGGGCUUCAGCAGCGGUAAGAGGGCCCGGCGGGCCCAACUCUCGAGCGAUUUGAACACCUCGGCCUUCUCCGGCGGCAUCGAGUGCGUCACGCUCCGUCGCACCAUCGGCGGUGCCGCCACCGCCGCAAUCUUAUUAAUUGAGAGCCGAGACACAGUUGAUGAGUCUGCAUUGCACACUACUAUUCUUACUACCGCGUUUGAAAAUAUGACCGCGUUAUGAUUUCCGUNUCGCGGCCGCCGCGGCGCUCCAAUUAAUUGAGAGCCGAGACACAGUUGAUGAGUCUGCAUUGCACACUACUAUUCUUACUACCGCGUUUGAAAAUAUGACCGCGUUAUGAUUUCCGUGUGUGUAUAUAUAUAGAGUGGGGUGCGGAAAUAAAUGACCUUAGAAAGGGCAUAAAAUUUCAAAAAAGGGUGGUGGUUUUAUGACGCUUGUGGCCGUUGGGGUAAAGGGUAUUUGCGUCAUUUCACAUAACGGAGAGGGUUUGUGACCGAGUUGUGCUUUUUUAACAAAACCAAUGGGUGCAGUGGUUUUAUGGUUCCUGUGGGUGUAACAUCCCCUUCGUGGAAACUAUCGCCUGGACAGGGUGCAUGAGCCGCACCAGUUAGAGCGCGAAACGUGGCAUGUUAACCAAUGAAAAGGGGGCGUGGGAUUUGGAAUCGGUGGGGCUGAGAAUAUCAUCGUGGCGGUCGAGUGUUUUGUUAAUUGGGGAUUAGUGGGGUGCGAUUAAUUAAGUUAACCUUUUUAGCGACGCCACCGGGUUUAAUUAAAGGGGUUUUGGCACGUGCGGAGGGGGCGGUGGUUGAGGCCGCAGCACGUGCCCCACAAGGCCCAUUUCUAGGCCCAUUAGAACAAUUUUUUUUUUUCUUCUUUACGUUUUUUUAAAAAUUUUUCAUGGGCCUGGCCCAUUGGGAAUCGUGGGCUUAGUCUUAAUGUAAACUAGCUCUUUAUUAAUUUAACGCAUUUAUAAUUUAUUGGCAUUUUGUGAAUAUAAAUAUUAAAAAAUAUAAUUUUAUGGUAGCUUAAUUUUUUAUAGAAUAAUAAUAUUUUUAUAAAAUUAAUUAUGGUAUCAAAACAUGACAGAGAGAAACCAAGCAAUUAAUAAAUAAAAAAAAUAUAUAUGAAUUUAUAACUUACACUUAUCUCAAUUGUAUAGUCAUGUUUUAUUCAUCGUGGUAAACCAUAUAUAAAUGGAAGCAGUAAAUGCGAACUCACUUUACACAUUUUCCAUCCACACUCAUUUUAUUUUAUUAUUAUUGUUAUUAUUGGGAGACGCGUACGCAAACGACUCUCCCCAUCCAUGCAUGCAAACCCUACUUUUCAUAGGAGCCAAACAAAGCCAUGUCCUUCCUAAACCCUGCGUUCAAGAAGACGAUGGCCAUUAUCCGGAACCGCCGAGCGCAGCGGCGGCCGCUCCCCUCCUACCUCUUUGCGUGACGCUUCGGCGAUCGCUUCGUGCUUCCUUUUCACUUCUUGUAGUUUGAUAUCUUCAUCGAUACAUAGUGCUACAAGUUGCUCGCCGUGGGGGCCCGGAACGACGGUCUCGUGGACGUGAACAUGGUCUUCGGAGCUCACAACCUUGUCCUCUUCGACCGCUUUCUUCUUCUCCUUCUUCUUCUUCUUUCUGAGGCAGCAGCAGAGUGCUGCUGCCAAGAAGGCAAGGAAGAAUAGCCCGCCGAGCGAGACAAACACGACGGGGGGAGUGGCAGGGGAGGGGACGGUGAGGGGGGCAGCGGCGGCGGCGGUGUCACAUGGAGGCGGAGGGGGAGCACUGGGGCCUAGGGGGGCCGGGCGUGGAGGCGCGGGCGGGGGCAGGCGGUGGAAUUGCGGGGGAGGAGGUUAUAGCUGGAGGCGGGGAGGGGGGGCCCCAUCAUGGGACGGCGGCGGCGGCGGAGGGCUUCGCUACGCGAAGGGGGAAAGACGGGGGCGGCGGGACGGAGAGGGCGGCCGAGGGGGCUUGAAAGGGAAUGUUGAGGGGGGAGGGAAGAAGGGGAAGCCAUAGUUUUGAGGGGAGGGGAUAGAAGACAUGUUGUGUUGAGUAGGAUUAGAUGCAAACUAGCUAGGGAUGAGCAAAAUGGUGUGAGUGUGUGUUGGUAUUUAUAAGAACCAAUAUAGAUAUAUAUUGACAUGUAUAUAUAUUAAUAUAUUAUAUAUGUAGUGAAGUGUGAUUUGGUUUGCAUAUGUGUAUGACUUGGCUCCCAUGCUAAGGCUUUUGUGAGAGUUGCUUCAAAUCAAUGUGUUGCUUACCUAGCAACGUGGGGAAGGCCUUUCUCUAUAUAUAGAUAUAUAAUAUAAUUUGUGUAACUAAGAAGCUUUGGAAAAGAACUACUAUACUCAUGGUCAUGAGUAUUAUUUGUUAAGGCUUUGUUUGGUUCCGGGAUAACGAAUAUUGAAAUAAAUUUUUUAUUUCUAAAAUAAUUUGCUAUUCUGAAAUAAUUAAGAUAAAAGUUAAAUUAUUUUUGAUUAAUUUUAUGAGAUAGUAGAGAAUAGUGGGAAAAAAAAUGAUCGUUUGAAUUUGAUAUAAAAUAUAAUUUAAUAAAAAUUUCUUAUAAAAAUAAUUAUUGUAAAAACAAUUUAUAAAAUAAUUCAUUAAUAAUUAUUGUAAAAAUUAUAAUAUUUAAUAAAAAUAAUUUAUUAAUAAAUUAUGAUUUAAUAAAAAUAAUUUUUAUAUAUAUAAUUUUUUAAAAUUCUACUUAAACUUAAAUUUAAUAAAAAUAAUUUAUUAUAAUAUUUAAAUANNNNNNNNNNNNNNNNNNNUAAAUAAUAUGUAUUAAUAUAAUAUUAUUAUAAUUUUAUAAUAAAAAUAAUAUAUUAUAAUAUAUAACAUAUGAUAUCUAUAUAAUUUAGUUUAAUUCGUUUUUUAAUUUUAAUAAUGUUUGAAAUUAAACUUUGGAAUAGCACUAUUCUGCCAAAAUGGUGGAAUAAUAAAUUUCAAGUUAUUCCGGAAUAGCCAGAAAUAGCAAGGUUUGACAGGAAUAAAAUAUCUUGACCAAAAAGCACUUCAUUUGGUGGAAUAGCGGGAUAACUUUUGUUAUCCCCGCUUUAUCCCCGAAUCAAAUCGGUCCUAAAGAAUAUAAAACAAUCUCUAAUCUCCAAAAUUUUAAGCUAAUAGAGAACAAUGUUUAAAUAUCUUUAUAUUUACCACUUUUUUUACGUGAUCGAGACUUGUGGACUUGAAUUAAGUGAGAGAAAAUCGACAAAGCUAGGAGUUUGGCGUUACUAGAAUUCAGAACCUCCUUCUCUGAUAUUAUAUUAAAGAAUAUGAAACAAUCGUUAUUUUUCAAAAGCUUACACUAGUAGAGAACGAUGUUUAAAUAUUUUUAUAUUUAAUAUUAUCCUCUUUUCUUUUGUUUAUUGACGAGUUCUUUGCAAAGUUUUAAAAGUUGGUACAAAAUCUACACAUUUCUUAGUUACUUUUAAGUUUACAGGAGUAUAUGAAUUCAAACAGAUCUCUAUGGGCUCAGCCCAGCUAAAAACAUCACCUUGGGCUCCUUCAACCCAAAUAAGGCCCAAUAAAAGGGGUCUUAUUAACAGCUAAAUUUGAAUUCCCCUCUAUCCCUCCCUCCCUCAAUUGCUCGGCCAUGCACUGCGCGGCGAGGACGCAACGACGUUGGCGCACCUUCAGCGGUGUCGACGGUGGCGACAAUCUCAGCUGCAGCGACGGCAACGGUCAUGGUAAUGGUUAGAACGCACAGCAAAACCGAGAAAGAAAUCGAGAGUUUAAACCAGAGAGAAUUAUCAUAUGAGCAAUCAACUUGUUGCAAUAAUCCGCUUCUAUUAGAUUACAAAUCACUAUAUGAACUUUCAGAAAGAAUGUUAAUCGCCACUAAAAUAUGUUAAAAAAAGCGAGCCAAUUACGCUUUAAUCAUCGGUUUGUGGCAGGUUAAGAUGAAGAAUAAAUGGGCCCAAUCAAUAGACAAGUUAUCAGAUUAUUGUUAGCAGGUCAAUCCAACAAACCUGGAUAUAUGUCACAAAUUUUUAAUUAAAAAUGUGGUUUACCAAAUAGAGGUGAUGAGAAACAAGGCCUACCAACUCCUGCUUUAGGUUUACCUGUUUUUGUACGGAAAUGUAUAGCAUAUUGCCCCUUUUUAUCACGAAAAUAUGAAAAAUUCAGAUAGUAUUCUAAAAUAUUGUUGAUGAGUCGAUUUUGCAUAUAUUAUAGUUGAUUAUUGGAUUAGCUUCUCAACUAUGAUCUUUAACUUAGGUAUCACUUCUGAUAUCUAGAAACAUAUAAGACUGAUUAGCUGCGAAAGACAUAAGACUGACUCGUAAACUGUUAGAACAAAUACCGCACAGAAAUCUGAUUGUGAUUUAAAUCUAACUAAAUUUUUAUUAUGAAAAUAAAUAAAUCAAUUUACAGAUGAUCGCUAAAUCCAAAUAAAUACUUAAUUGAUCCGGAAGCGUGCGAGGCAUUGCCCUAAGGCGUAUUCCCGUCCUUACGUGCGGGAUUAACCGGGAACAACACCCCAAGGUACGACCGGAAUUCCUCCUCCUGCGAGCACGAUCGUGAAGGAGAUUGACGGUGACUCUUUCAACACCCAGCGAUAAAUAAAAAAAAUUAACUUAUGAAAAAGGGAUAUCAAAGUAAAACAAAAUUUCAUCUCUUUUACUUCUCUAUAUAAUAUUCAUAUAUCAUGAACAGUAUGUAGAGGAAUAAUCUAAUAAAUAAAGAGAAUGGGUUGAACAUUGGAAUCCUCAAAGGAUUCCAAUAGUGGAAACGGUUUCCACUAUUAAUCCAUCUCAUUAAUUAAAAUAAAUAACAAUGGAUACUAAUAAAUGAGAAUAAAAGAAUUAAUAAAUAACAAUUAAAAUAAUAAUAAUAGUAAUUAAGAAAUUUGAGUAGUAAUAAUAAUGAUUAAGGGAUUUUGAAUUUUCCUCCAACAUAAACUGUAUACUAAAAUCUCAUUACGUAUCUAUUGUAUUAUCUUUUAUAAAAAGUGAUGAAUCACAUCUUAUAUUAGUUUUGCAUACGAGAGUGACUCAAUUAAUAACAUAUCCAUUACAUUAUUGUGUUACAAGAAGUGAUGAAUCACACCUUAUAUUAGGUAAGCAAGAGAGAGAGAGAGAGAGAGAGAGAGAGAGAGAGGUUGCUUUUUAAGGAUGCAACACAUGUGCUUUCACAUUUUUGAACAUUGGAUAAAUGUGAAGAUCUAUAUAUAGUAUGAGAAAGUUCAUGAAAUUCUCAAUGUGGACAACAAGUGUGUGUUCACUUACCCAGAAGCAGUACUUCUGACUAAAAAAUCUUCAACAGGAUUUUGCUACACUCAAUGGAAAUUAUGAGUUAUAAGGCCUGUGAUUUUAUAUAUAGCUCAUAUACUCAUAUUAACUUCCUACCACAAUACCGACCGUCUCUAGAGCAAGUGGCAAAAGGCUUGGUGGUUGAUACCCGAGAUCCAAGUUUGAAUCCUAGUUGAUUCACAUUUCCAGCUAAGUUUAUUUCUAAAUAAAAUAAACGAAUCGGGUAGCAUGCUACAUUUCUCUCUCAAAAACAAAAAAAAAAAAAACUUCCUACCACAACUAUCUUUAUUUGUAUGCGGAGUAAUUGUUAUUUAGUAUGACAAAAAAAAGUUGUUUCCAAAGCUAGAUAUUAAAAAUCAAUGCUAACAAAUUAAGAAAAUGUAGAUGUUCUAGAUUUCUAAUUCAUAUACACCAGGCGAUUUGAGCGUCCUUCGUUAAGGAGCAAUCAUCAGUAACGGUGGCAAUCGAACAAUUAGUGCAAAACAUGAUUGAGUGGAUAUCUUUGUCGGCUUUUGAUAGACGGUAAAUUUGAGCAAAGCCUGACCUAGGGCUAGGGUUGAGCCAGAGAAAGUUAGGUCAGCUCGAUCCUGAUGCAACAUUGAAAUAAAAGAACUCAUACAUGACCUAGAUUUUUCUGAACCUCAAUUUUUGACACUUAAGUUAGCCAAAUAAGCAGGUCCAAAUUCGAUCAUUUGACUGAGCAUGUUGGACUUGAUUUGUCGCUGUCUAAUAGAUGAUUCAAAUAAGUAAUGUGUAGAAAUUUUUUGCACAUGUACAAUUUAAACUAAAAAUGUGCUAUAGCAAAAGCACCAAGCUGCACAUGUUGAUGUGCAACUUAACCAUGCAAUGGGUGUCAUUAAAUGGAGGAGCUUCAAAUCUAGCUUGUCCAAUCAUGCCAAUGCCCAAUUUGUAAUUUGUAAAAUGGUCAAGGCCUUCACUUACAUACACCCCUUUUGAGACAUGCAUAACUCCAAUUUUACCCAAACAGUGUACAACAAAUUAAUAGAUCCCCUUUAAGAGCCUUGCUUGGUCAUACACACAAUCACUUAGAUGCAAACUCUAAGGAAGAAUCAUCUUUUUCUAAGAGAGAGGACACCUACUAUCCUCCCAAGCUAUAAGUGGAUUCCUACUAAAAAGGCUCAUUGUUGUUAUCAUACAUCUUUCCCUUCUAAGAGAACUUGUUAUCUACACCAGGUUUAUCCAUAUAUCUCAUGCACCUCAAUCAAUAUGUAACAAACAAGGUCUUUAAAUUAAAAAUUUUAGGGUGCACCAAUUAUAUUGCUGAUAUGGCAUUCCUAACCAAUCAGAUUAUUUUUCUUGAAUUUACCUAUCCCAUCAUGGUCAUUAGAUAAAUAUUUUUAUUAUACUUUUUUUUUUCAAAAAUAGAAGUAUUAUUGGCUGGUUAUUGAUUAUAUAGUAUAAGUGUGGCAUAGAGAACUUAUUCCUUUAAAUCGAGAUCUAGUAUUAUAUUUUUAUUCUACACCAACGAAAAAAGAAUACGUAUUAAAGUUAUGUAAACAUAUUAUCGAGAUAUCAAGUAGUUUCAAAAUAAACGGUUUAAAGAAAUACUCUUUAAUUUAUAAAAAAAACUAAUUUCCAUAAUUUGUGAUAAUUUUCUUUAGUAUAUAGUCCUCUUUUAAUGGUGACAUUCAUGAGAUAGAGCAACAUUAUACACACAUACAUAUUUUAAAGUAUUUUACGACUAUGCUAGUUUAGAUAAUUUUAAUUGCGCCGUUGAUACAAUUUAUAAAAGAAUAGAUCUGAGAGAGACGAACAACAAAGUUGAAGAGUUUUAUGUGCUAUGAACACUGACUGUGACUUUAUGUACUUCGUGAGAUUAUGAAUUCAUUCAAUACAAAAGACAAAGUUAAUCUCAAACAUACGAUCAAAGUACACGAUUUCUUUUUCUCGCAACUUUGACGAAAUAAACAGGUCCUAUCACCCUGUUUGGUUCGGGUGCAAGGGGUAGGAUAAAGAGUUAUCCCAACCUUUAUGCCCAAACAAAAAAAAAAGAGUGAGAUAGCUAUCCCACCUCUUAUGUGGGAAUAGCGGUGGAAACAGUUGUUCUCAUCCCUAUUUAAUUUUUUAAAAAUUUAAAUUUAAAAUUUUAAAAUUUAUAAUUUGUAAUUUUAAAUUAAAAAUUUAAUAUUUUAUAUAUUUAAGUUUUGAUUUAAUUUAAAAUUUAAAAUUUAAAACUUUAAAUUUUUGAUUUUGAGAUUUAAAAUUUUAAAUUUAAUUUUAAAUUUUUAAAAUUUAAAAAUCAGAUAUUUAAAUUUAAAAAAUUAANAGUUGUUCUCAUCCCUAUUUAAUUUUUUAAAAAUUUAAAUUUAAAAUUUUAAAAUUUAUAAUUUGUAAUUUUAAAUUAAAAAUUUAAUAUUUUAUAUAGAGCAAUUUUGCAUUUAGAUAAAAAUUAAAAUUCAAAUAAGAAGAUAAUGGACAAUAUCAUUAUUUUCUAUUUAUAACUAUUCAUUAUUUUUCUUAUUCCAUCUUAUCUAUUCAAACACUAUUUUUUUUUAUUCCCGAUAACAAUUUAAUUUUUAUCUAAAUGCAAAAUUGCUCUAUUGUAAGUUUAUAUCUAAACUUAUAACUAUUUCUGAAAUAAACAACUCUUUUUUAUAUCCGAACCAAACGAAGUCUAUAAGCAUACACGAGGUGCACGAAAUAAUUAAGAAUAUAAGGUUAAAAGUACCACUCUAUAUUAUGAACCUUUCCAUUUUUUCCCAACUACUACCCCAAACUGGGCCCCACGCACCUAUCCUCUCAAAUUUACGAAAAUACCCUCGUUCGGGAGCUAUUUAACCUCCCGCCCCAACCGACCCUUUUCCUCUUCUUCUUCCUCUGCGUCUUCUUCGUAGAGACCUCUCCUUCGCUUCUCCGCCAUUUUUCGCCCCGAGAGCAGCUCGAAACACUUCAUGGUCGGGGUUAGGGUUAGGGUUAGUGUUUCUAUCCGAAGAAGAAGAGGCGCCGGUCCGAAGGAGUCGAGCGAUCGCGCGGCGUAUCCGGUUCGAUUCCCAUGUGUUGCCCCUCUCUCUUUACCCGAUUAUCGCUGUAGAUCAUAUGAUAUUUGAGUUUUUUGGUAGAUUAUUUUGUUAUAUUGCGAAUUUAGUGAUCUCCCGAUCGAAAUGAUCCGUUUCUACUCGUUGUCGCGAUCGGAUUGAGAUAGAAAAUGUCUGAAUCCGUCGCUACGGGGCAUCUCGGAUCGGGGUGGGUGAUCUCGUGGUUUUUGAGCGAUAUGUGAAUGGGUUGUUGAGGGGGAUUUGAUCGUGGAGGCGUGUAGAAUGGUUGUGCGGAGGGCGCGGCGGCGGCGGCAGAGAUGGUGAGCGGUAGCUUUAGCCGGAGCACAUCGAUUCGCCUCACGCCGAGGAGUGUGGGGAGCCCUAGGGUUUCGUCUCAUCGGAAAUGGUGGGCGCAUGGCCCGUCGAUCAGCGCACUGGCCGUGACGUUCUUCCUGGUCUCCAUUGUUCUGGUUGUUGGAUGUGUGCUGUAUCUGUAUUUCGUUCGCUACUUGAAUCGCGAGAACUUGGUUUCCGGAUUCCCCGGUGAGGCGGAUGCGUGCGAUGUGUUUGACGGUAGCUGGGUCGCUGACGGGACGUAUCCGCUGUACAACAGUUCGGAGUGCCCCUUUGCUGAAAGAGGGUUUAAUUGUUUGGCAAAUGGGAGAAAGGAUAUGGACUAUUUGAAGUGGAGGUGGAAGCCGCGGAAUUGCGAUGUGCCCAAAUUUAAUGCACCUGAUGUCUUGGAAUGGCUUAGAGGGAAGAGGGUUGUUUUCGUUGGUGAUUCGAUGAGCCGCACGCAGUGGGAGUCUUUUAUUUGUAUGCUCAUGACCGGGGUUCGGGAUCCGCAGAGUGUUUACGAGGUCAAUGGGAAUCAGAUCUCAAAGACCAUUCGCUUCUUGGGUGUUCGGUUCCCAGAUUUCAAUUUGAGUGUGGAGUUCUUCCGGUCUGUGUUUCUUGUACAGCCGGGCCUGCCACCUUGGCACGGGCCCAAACGAGUCCAUUCAACGCUCAAGCUAGAUAAGAUGGAUGAGAUAAAUGGGAAGUGGGUUGAUUCGGAUGUCCUUAUUUUUAACUCUGGCCACUGGUGGACUCCAAGUAAAUUGUUUGACAUGUAAGUUGUUUUCUUAUUUAUUUCUCGAAUUUUUAUAUCACUUUCUGCUGGAACAGCUCAAACAGAUUUUGUCAUAGUGCAUCAGCAAUUCUGAUGUUCUACUGUGCUCAUUAAUAUGAAAUACUAUUGUUUUCCCUUUUAUCACCACAUAUCAAUAAGUUUCCGUAAAUUUAUUAGUUAUGUCAACACUAUUAGGGAUCAACCUGAAAAUCGUUGCUCUUAGCUUCAUCUAUUCGUCUUGUUUUUCUCUCUCUUUCUCUUACCUUAAUAGAUCUCAUAUGACUCAUGAUCCAUAAUUAAUAUGAUUUCUGGAUUAGGAAUGGUAAUCAUGUUGCAGAUAUUGUUCUCUAAAUCAUGUCAAGAAAAUUUGGGGAGUAAAAAUCUCCUUUUAUUAAAAUUGAUCUAUUUAUCAGAUCUUUUAAAAUAAGUUAGUAUUUUAUAUAGGCUUAUUCUUAUUGUUGCCUCGUGGGAUAUUUUACAGCCUGUUUGGAAGGAGAGAAUAGGAGAGAAAGAAGAGAAAAAUUACAAGAAAAAAGAAAGAAAAAAAUGUUCUCAUGUUUGGAUUCAAGUUUUGGGGCAGGAAACAGGAUAAUCAGGCAUAGUGCUUAGGAAAGAGAAUAAUGUUUAUUUGAUCACUUCGUUGCUUAUUUGAUUGGUUUGUGGCAUUUUGCAUGUAACUUUUUGUGGCAUUACUGCUGAUUUAAAAACUCUUAAUAAAGAGAUUAAUUUGAAUUUCCAAAUAUUGUCAGUUUUCUGCUUUACUUAUCGUAUGACUUCCCUUCACUGAUCAUCAGUAAUAAUGUUGUGUGGUUCUGAGGGAUUGUCAUAUAUGUAAUAUGCUACCUGUUUGCUGUGCCGUUUGAUUUCCUACUGUGUUCAUGGGUAGGAAUAUCUGCAGCGCAAGUUACUGUGGAAACUUUUAUAUUGUUGAACUUUUCUGAAUCAAACUUCUCGACAGGGGUUGCUAUUUCCAGGUUGGAGGAACGCUCAAGCUUGGAAUGCCUAUCAAUGCGGCCUUCAGAACGGCUUUGGACACAUGGGCAUUGUGGGUAGAAAAAAUGGUGGACAUGAACAGAACUCAUGUCUUUUUCCGGACUUUUGAGCCUUCUCACUGGAGGUGAGCAUUUGUAUCCCAAGAAGUAAUUAUUUCAGGAAAUACGUCUAAAAUGGUUUUACUGGUCACUGAAUCGUAAGAAUAUUGUUUUUGAAUAAAAACUGAGGCAAAAUUAACUGUUUUAUCUCCUUUUACCUGGCAUGCCAUCGCAGCUCUUGGGUUGACCUCCACCAGAUUUGGAUAUAUUAAAGGCUUUAUUCCCUUCUUUUUUGUGCUUAUAAUAAUGUCUAUAGAGAGUCAGAUUAUAUGAUUUAUCUUUAGGCAGUUUAAAAAUGUUAGUUUGAUUUGAGUUGGUAUUUGACCAUGGAAUAUCACUGCCACAGGAACUGAUCGCUUUAGGUAUUUUCCUAUUUUAGCAUGAUGUUAGAUGCUUGUAUUUUGUUCGCUGGUACUGAUAUAGUUACAUGCAUCCAUGCUUGGUAUGGAGAGCCAUGAACAAAAUGUAUUUGUUGUUUCCUAAAUAUCAUCAGGCAUUUAUACCAAGUAACAAACAUCAGAUACCACAAAUGGUGUCUCAUAUCAUUCUUAUUAUACGAGAUAAAUUGAAUAUACCUCUUGUAAUGAUCCAGCGGCUCAAACCAAAAACUGUGUGAAGUAACUGAACAGCCUUCCUCCGAGCUGAAGGGAAACGAUGGGAGUGAGUUCGGGGACAUCUUAGCUGACGUGACAGAGAGGAUGAGAGUUCCUGUCACCGUAUUGAAUGUGACUUCAAUGGGAGCAUCCCGGAGCGAUGCCCAUAUUGGUAUUUAUAGCCAUCCCUCCACCAUUCUCGAUUGCAGCCAUUGGUGCCUUCCUGGAGUCCCAGAUGCUUGGAAUGAGCUUGUAUUCUCGUAUUUGCUGACAGAUGGUAAGUUUCCUGGUUGUGCAUUUAUAUGCUAUUUGGAAUUUUAUUCAAGUGCUAUGGUUACUACAAAUAAAUUUGUGCAUGCCUGCCUUAUGCUGCAUGUUUUUGCAAUGCUGGUACCUGUUUGGCAUGACUCUUGGACAAGCUUCUUUCUAUGAAAAGCGGCAACUGGAAAUUUGACCGAUAAAAAAUAUAAAAGCUACUAGGCUGUGAAAGCAGAUAGUCCAAUCUGAAGCACCCGCAGCUACUAGGCCGCGAAAGCGGAUAGUCCAAUUUGAAGCAUCUGCUUUUGCUGCAGCAUUAAGCUAUAUUUGGUUAAUUGCAAUAAGAUAUUAGAACUAGUUACCUCCUAAGAAACUCUAGCCGGGCCAAACAGAUCCCUACUUGAGGAGAAGUUGCUGCCUUGACCUGCUCCGCUACGUCGGCCUUGGACCGCCCAGCGAUCGACCACAGAUCUCAUCCAUUCUUAAAAUCAUCAUCACCACCCAGCGAGUUUCAGUCUUUUCGAAAUCUGAAAGUUAUUUUCAUUUAAAGUUGUGGCGAUUGAAGGAAGUGAUGAGAUGAAGGGUACACGGCUGCGCGGCAGACCAGGUCCAGGCAAUAAUUCCUACCUGAGCAUGCAUAGUUCUUUUUAUUCCAACGUAGCGUGAAACAACCCUUAUAAAUUUGCGACGCAAGUGUUGCCUUCUCUAAAUAUGCUAGCUUACUGAUGAGCAGAAACCUUUCAUGUUGUAAUAUCCAAUGCAGCCCUUGAGCUGUUUACUCCUACGGAUUUUAUGGGGGAAAAAAAAUCAUUUUCUAGCUUACAUUGGACUGGAGUUCUUCUUCCUUUUUUUUUAUUAUUAUAUGGUGAUUAUAAGUUACCACAUUAUGCGCGGAUUACCUGUUCUUUACUGUAACAUAGCAUUUUUUAUGAUGAGUAAUUUGUGCGCUUUUUAAUUUUCUGUAGGUUGGAGAAAAAUGGUACGAUAAAAGUCAGGUUUGGUGGUUCUCUUUCUAUUUGUGCUUCCUUUUUUUUUUUCCGUUUUUCUUUUUCAAAUCAAAAGCAGCGCACUGCGAGGUAUGUUACUUUUGUCCAAUUUUUUAUAUUCUUUUUUCCCUUGAGUUCGUGAAUUAACUCCAAUGUGUAGUAUUUUGUAGCUUUAGUUUAUUUUUCCUAGAGGAAAGUGAAAUUACCGAGAUAGAUUGAUCGAUCGAUCGAUCGAUCGACCAUCUGAGGUGUAUGUAAUGGUAAUUGUUUUUAUAGAUGCCAACUUCAAUUUUGUUUUGUAUAGAAGACCUUCGUUUGAUCAAGCAAUUGAUUGAUCUGAGAUCUUGGUGCAUUUUUCCAGUUUCGUCGAAUUUUUUUGUUGCCCGGUGAAAUUUCUACGGAUGUUAUUUACAAUUUCGAUUGAACUGUUUUUCGGGUAUCUUCGUAGUGGUUAAAUACAUAAUUUUAUUUUUCUUAUUUAUGAACAUUUCUCUUGUUCUUUGAUCCGUGUCUCAUUUUUAUUUCUACAUGAAGGAAUGUGUGUUAAUUUCUAUCGUGUACUUAAAACUAGUGUCCCAAAUGAGGCCCAAAAAUUUUACAUGAUUAUUGAAUUUAUAUGUAGAAUUUUAGCGGAAUAAGUAGGAAUAUGACAAGUUGUCAUCUGAAUAAGGUAAAAAUAUUCACAACUUACUUGAAUUAUGAUUUAUUUUGAAUCGACUAUCUGGUCUUUUAAAAGUUGGAUCUUAUUAUCAGAUCUUUCGAUUUGUUUGAUUUGAGUUAGCGAGGCAUUUUGACUUCAAAUUUUAAACUAAUUAUUUAUUUUAAUAAGUUUGUAAUUAUGAGAAUUAUAUAAAGUGUACUAAUUCAAUCUAUUAGUAUAGACGUCAUAUUUAAAUUUGAAAUCUUGAAAAGCUGGAUAGUAAAAUUAAAACUUUAAAAGAUGAAAUAGUUGAUUCAAAAUAAUUUACACUUUCGGUAAGCUCUAUUAUAUAUUUUCACCUUUGAAAUAACAAUUCUAAGACUAGAUAAAAAGAGAGAUCUUUUGUUAUUAGACCUAUCUAAAUUAGUAGUUUAUUAGUUAAUUCCGUUAAUUUAUAUAAAUUUUUUCUGUUAUAUUUAGCUAAUGUCACUCGUCAACUCGUUUUCAGGGAAUCCUACAUCUAAUGUCACAGUCACUAUAAAUAUGUAGACUUUUUGGAGGCAACAACACAGUGCUUAUUUGAAAUUUAAUGUAUAAUUUUGUACGUAUACGAUCGGCUAAAAGGAACAUUGAGUUUUUUAUUUUCUUUUUUUUUGUGUUUUUUUGUGGUGCAAUUCAACUUUGUUUGUAUUUAAAUCUUCAAUGCUGAGAGCUUCACAGUCGCCGAAAUUUCAUGCGAGAUUAUAAUUUGUACUAAGCCAAUCCCAUAACCUGGUGCGACAAAUAGAUAUUAAAUCACAAGGGCAAUAUAUUUAUUUUAACUUGAUUUUAUUCCUGUGCUCUUAUCUUAGGAGAAUAUAGAUGAGAAGUAUGGUUACAAUUUUUCUAAAAUGCUGUUUGUUUUCAUGAAAUAGUUAAUGUGUUUAGUGUACAUUACACCACAAGUAUUUUUUUUUUUUUGAGGAAAAAUAAUAUGCACUCUGUCAUUUAUUUUUUUAAAAAUAAUUUAGUUGAAAAUGUGACAUCAAGUAAAUUCAACAAUUUGGGUCAUAUAUAUAUAUAUAUAUAUCGUAUAGAGAGAGAGACUGAGAGAGAGAGAGAGAGAGAGAGAGAGAGAGAGAGAGUCCGGUUGUUAUGCUAUCAAUAGCACCAAGAAGUUGGAGCUAUCAAGUUUUCUGCCGUUAGAUUAACCCCUUUGAUUAUUUUUACCCGUUAGAUUAUACUAUUCAACCAACCACCUACUUAACCCUAGGGGGCCCACAUCAUCCUAAUCGCACAUCUUUUAAUCUAAGGACGGAAAACUUAAUAGCACUAAGUUAUUAGUGCUAUUGAUAGUAUUCCAAUCUAGUUCUAUAGAGUCCGGCUGCUAUGCUAUCGAUAGCACCAAAAAGUUAAGUUUUCUGCCGUUAUAUAUAUAGUAGAACUACUAUGCUAUCGGAAGUAUAGAGAAUCUGAUAUUUUUGAUUUUCGAUUCAAGCGUUAAAAAAUCAAAAAAAUCAAAUCCUCUACGUUUUCAAUAAUAUAGUAGCUCUAUAUUUAACUAAAAUUAUGAAAUAAUUAAAUUUAAAAUUUAAAAUUUAAAAUUCUAAUUAUCAAACUUUUCACUACUGGUGCUAGAAACGGCAGUGUCAUUAUGAGACUGUUACUGAGAGGAAGACUCUCCCCUCCAGUCCAACAGACAGACAGUCCCACAUUAAAAGGUGCGGCCUCACUUUUCGGCACGACAUUUAAUUUUAAUUUUUUUUCCUUUAUUGGGCUGUUAUUAUUAUUUUAUUAUUAUUAUUAGCGCUAAUGAAAUUGAAAUGACGCCUGCUUUCAAGAACACUUUAUUAAUUUUAGCAGCAGGAAGGAUUUCCUGCCAGUAGUGGUCAUGCAAAAGUCGCACCCAGUUUUUCCACCAGAGACCUUCACCACUAAACGACAUUAUCCCCCUACUCUCGCCCUCUACUCUCCUACAUUGUUUGUGUUUUUCUCUCCCAAACCCCCCUUGUGUUACGGCAUUUUCACUUGCUACUCUGUGGUUUAUAAGACGUACAAUUUACCGCGACCCUGUGUUUCAUUUUUAAUCUUUCGCGAUACGAGCGACAGAAGCUUUUUCGGUUAAUAUUUCGUUAAAUUUAUACAAAAACAUUCAGAUAACAUCUAUAUUUACGAAUAGUCACUCCCACCGUUAGUACCUUCAAAUUUAACUUUUGUCACUGAUUUAAAAUAAUAAUAAUAAAAUUGACAAAAAAGAAAAUAAAACGAAAACCACCGGACCGGGGAGCAAAAUUGAUUCUACGUUUAAAAAAACCACACUAAGGAGCAAAAGUAAAGAAUGCACGAAACCACAGGGUUUUGAAAGUUUUCCCAAAAAAAUAAAUACACAAACAAUCGUAAGGAGGAGUAGAGGGCGAGAGUAGGGACUAGGGCGAUAUAUGCGUUUAGCUGGUGAAGGUCUUGGUGGAAAAGAACCUGGUGCGACUUUGCUGACCAACUGCCUUACUGGCAGGAACCUCCUGCUGCGAAGAAUUAAUAAAGUGUUUUUGAAAGAAAACAAAAAGCAGCGAGCGUCCAUUCACUUUCCAUUAGCCUAAAAUACAUAAUAAAUCAAUUAAAAUACAGCCCAAUAAAGAAAUAUAUUAAAAUUCAUGUCGUGUGCCGAAAAAGUGAGGCGGCACGCUUUUUAACUGUGGACUUGUCUUGUCUGUGUGGACUGGAACAGGGGACGAGUCUUCCUCUCAUUAAGCAAGCUGAUACAAAUGACAUGGCCCGCGCCGUUCUCAAGCACAGGUAGUGAGAAGUGUGAUAAUUAGAUUACAAACACCCUUUAAUUUCUUAAUAUUUUACUUAUUCGCAUAAUUUUAGUUAAAUCAUAGAGGGCUACUAUAUUGUGCUAAACAGUCAGAACCAGGAUUUGAAUUGUUUCUCCUGAUUGUUUUUAAACGCCUUGGAAUCGAAAAUAAUCAAAAAUACCGAGAUUCUUUUACUACUUCCACGAUACGUCAUACGUAAGCUCUACUAUAAUACCUAAAAAUAUCAAUUCUCUCUAUACUUCAGAUAACAUAGGUAGCUUACCUAAUUACUAUAAGGCAGAAUUUUGUAUAGCACCAACUUCUAGUGCUAUCAGAUAGCAUAAACACCGGACCUCUCUCUCGUCUCUCUCCCUCCGCGUCCCUCUCUCUCCGUCUCUUCCUGUCUCUCGUAUCCAAUCUCUCGUCGCUCUCCUCUCUAUAUAUAUAUAUUAGUAUUAUAUAUAUAUAUAUAUUAAUAUAUCAUAUAAUAUAUGACCCAAAUUUCGAAUUCUAAUGAUGAGCUUCACAUUUGUCGCACUCUAAGUUUAAUUUUAAAUUUAAAAAAAAUAAACGAUCGGUAGCAUAUUAUUUUUCUCUCUUAUUCAAAAAAAAAAAAAAUAUAGCUCGUGGUGAAUGACACCUAAACCCACAUUACACUAAUUUCACAUGAAGAAACCAACACGCAGGCAUUUUAGAAAAACAUUGUGAACCCAUACUUCUCAUCUAUCCUACUCCUAAGAUAAAGCACAGGCAAUACAAUAUCAAGGCUUAAAAUAAUAUUUGCCUCUUGAUUUAAAUCUAUGUGUCGCACCACGGUUAUGGAUUGGCUUAGCUACAAAUUUAUAGAUCCUCGCAUCAGAAAUUUCGUGAUCGACGUGUGAAGCACUCUCAGCAUUGAAGAUUAAAUACCAAACAAGUUGAAUUGCCACCAGCAAAAGAACACAAAAAAAAAAAGAAGAAAAUAAAAAGAAAAACUCAAUGUUCCGUCUUUGGCCGGNNNNNNNNNNNNNNNNNNNNNNNNNUUUUUUUUUUUUUUUUUUUUUUUUUUUUGGUAAACUUCAAAUAUCUAUCACCGGUAGUUUUGCAUUUUUUUUUCUUUUAAUACUAUGUAAUUUAAAAUAUAUCAAUUUGAUAUUCUAUGAUUUUAUUUUUUUUCUUUCUGUUUAGUUUUACCGUUAACAUUUCGUUAAAUUAUAUAUAAAAAACUUCAGAUACUAUGCCUAAAUUUAUUAAAUAUUUAUUCUAAUACCUUUUAGUUUUAAAUUUGUUACUGAUUUAACGAAAAGAAAGUAAAAAAAUAGUAUAAAGAAAAAAAUUAAACUAUAAAAUACUAAAUUAAUACACCUUAAAUUAUAGGAUACUAAAAUAAAAAAAGAAAAAACUUCAAAUACCCUCCUGUGGUUUCACAUUUUUUCACUUUGGUACCUUAUGAUUUAAAGUGUAUCAAGUUAGUACUCUGUGGUUUCAUUUUUGUAUCAAGUUAGUAUCUUGUGGUUUCAUUUUUUUCUUUUUAUUAUUCAUCUCGGGAUAUUUUUUUCAUUAAAUCAGUGACAAAGUUAAAAGUAAAAGAUACUAAAAUGAAUAUUUGAUAAAUCUAGAUAGAGUAUCUAAAUUUUUUUUUGUAUAUAAUUUAACGAAAUAUUAAACCACAGAAUACUAGAGUGAGAAGGUGCGAAACCACAGGGUACUAACCUGAUAUACUUUAAACUACAUGGUACUAAAGUGAGAAAGUGCAAAACUACAGAGUACUAAUUUGAUACACUUUAAAUCAAAUGAUACUAAAGUGAGAAAGUACGAAACCAAAAGGGGGUAAUUGAAGUUUUUCCCUAAAAAAAAUGAAACUAUAGGGAAGUUUUUUGUUGGGGCAAUUUCAUGGAUACCCCUCUCAAAGUCUAAAAUAUCAUAGAUGCCCCUAUAAAAUUUAAAAUAUUACCUAUACUCCUGUAAAUACAGAAAAUUAUCAUCAAUAUCCUUACUGUUAGUUACGUUAGCUUUACUUUACCUAUAGUUGAUUUUUUUAUUUCAACUCCCUCCUCAAAGUUUUACCGUAUUCAACUCCCCUAGAGGUAUGUAAAAAUGCAUUCUCUUGGAACUCCCAUUUAUUCAGUAAAAUUUUCAAUUGGGUAGAAAUAGGGAAAUUAUUGAUACCNNNNNNNNNNNNNNNNNNNNNNNNNNNNNNNNNNNNNNNNNNNNNNNNNNNNNNNNNNNNNNNNNNNNNNNNNNNNNNNNNNNNNNNNNNNNNNNNNNNNNNNNNNNNNNNNNNNNNNNNNNNNNNNNNNNNNNNNNNNNNNNNNNNNNNNNNNNNNNNNNNNNNNNNNNNNNNNNNNNNNNNNNNNNNNNNNNNNNNNNNNNNNNNNNNNNNNNNNNNNNNNNNNNNNNNNNNNNNNNNNNNNNNNNNNNNNNNNNNNNNNNNNNNNNNNNNNNNNNNNNNNNNNNNNNNNNNNNNNNNNNNNNNNNNNNNNNNNNNNNNNNNNNNNNNNNNNNNNNNNNNNNNNNNNNNNNNNNNNNNNNNNNNNNNNNNNNNNNNNNNNNNNNNNNNNNNNNNNNNNNNNNNNNNNNNNNNNNNNNNNNNNNNNNNNNNNNNAAAAAAUAAAAUCCCAUCGUAUGUAAAUUCAGUUAUGCGUUUGGUCUAUAUUUAAACUGAACUUGAACCGAAAUCCGAAACUAAAAACAAAACCAAAAUUAGAUAAAAACAUACUAUAUAUAAAAUAUAAUUUUUAUAUAUUUUUUAAUAAUUAAUAUAUAUUAAUGAUUUAAUUUAAUAUGUAUAUAUUAAAUACUCAAAUUUAGAUUUAUAAAAUUAUCUUGAAAUACCUAUUAGUAUUUUUAUUAUUAAGUAUUAAUAAGAGAUAAAGGGUAAAAUGGUAUUUUAAAAAUUUGACUCCGUUUCAAAUGGGACCUAACGGAUCUAAACUAAUAGAGGGCAUUUAUAAUAAUUUUUAACCUAUUGGAGGGUAUUUGUGAUAUUAUCAAUUUUAAAAAGGUAUUGAUGAAAUUAAUAGUUUCUAGAAGGGCAUCUAUGAAAUUUUUUCUUUUACAGAAAAGGCUCUUCGUCUAGAAUUUCAGUGGAUUGAGUGAAGAGAGAAAAAAAGAUUGAAAUUUUUUUUUUUUUUUUUGUUUGUUAUUUUAAUGAGAAAAAAUUCACCUUUGCACACCCACCACUAAAGGCACUAACCCCACUCCCAGUACUGCAUCAUCAUCAUCAAUCACCGUGUUUGUUUGCCCCGUGACCACUCCCUACACCCUACGUUUUUCCCACUCCCACCCCCUUUUCUUUUCCCAAUUUAACUUACACCACCACAGCGCGGCAUCACGCACGCGUACCCACAAAAGCUCCCAGAGAUAUCCACCGUAUCCAGCUUAGUUUGGCUUUAAAGUCUAACCAAUACUAGUACAGUAUUCCGUGCGAUGUAAGGAGCAGAUAAUUAAAGAAAAAAUGGAGAACAAUAAUAAAAAAAAAAAGAAAACAGUAAGUAAAGAAGCGACACUCAGGGAUGAGAUUUAUCUUGUCGAUAAAAAAAAUAUAACUCAAUAAUAAAUAGUUCGAAAAAUAUUAUUACGUGACAAAUUUAAAAAGAAUAAUAUAUAAAUAUAGAUAGAUAGAUGUAGACUAUGCUUUAUAUAUUUUUUAACUGAAUUUAUUUUUUUAAAAUAAAAAAGUAAUUUUUUCAAAAUAAUAAAAAUGAUAACGAUAACCGUGUACACAUAGUAUUAUUUUGUAAUCAAAAGGAAAGAAAGAAUACUUCAGGUAAAUUCUUUUGUUAUUAAAUAAUAUGUAUACUACUCUUUUAUAUAUAUAUAUAUAUAAUAUUAAGCUAGUGCAUAUGAAUUAUUCAUAGAUCAAAUCUUUCUUGCCUAUAAUUGAAUUAUUAAAAGCCAUAUUUGGAAUGCAAUAACUUAAGUUAGGAUGAUCAAAUUUAUACUAUAUAUAUAUGUUAAGAAUAACACUCUACACGAAUCUCAAAAUAGAAUUAAAAGCUAUCCAAUGCAUAGUUUUGAAUGUCCAAUGGAGACAAAUCUCACCAAAUUAUUCUUUUCCUUUUCUUUUAACUUUCCAAAAGUUGGGUACAUAUUUUGGUAAGCUAAAUAUGUGCAUUCAUUCACCAUCUCCAAACUUCCCAAACAGUAACACUUGAAACGCACUACAUCUCCCCCCUAAACAAGCGCAAAUCCCUCAUGAAACCUAUCAACAAUUUUUUUUAAAAAUUUUUUUUUAAUUUUUUAUAUAUAUCCAAAAGAGCCCAAUAUAAAAUUAAAUAAGAAACUCACAUUUAUUUUAUCAUAUUAUAUAGUCUAAAACACAGAAAUUUUUUUUAUAAAUAUUUAUUUUUUUAUUUUUUCUUUCUGAUUUUAAAAAAAUUUAUGUUUUAUUUCUUAAAAUUUUAAAAAUAUUUUCAGAGGAGUACGACGUUAAUGAAGAGAAUAAAAUAACUAAAUUAUUAUUAUUUUUUCUGUAAAUAAAUUAUAAAAAACGAAGGACUCAUAAACCUCCUCCCCUUAAUAAAUAAAAGUGUCAAACCCCAAAAUAUAGUACACACCAUCCUCCAACCCCCAUUAUUCAUCAUCAUCAUCUUCAUCAUCAUCAUCCAUGGCCCUCCUCCUCCUCCUCCUCUUCACCAACAUCUUCACCAUCUCCUCCUCCUCCUCCUCCUCCUCUCACCAUCACCAUCACCACCAAACCCUACCACCAUCUCCUCCAUCCUCACCCACACCUUCCACCUCCGCUUCCACCUCCCCCUCCCUCCAAAUCCUCCUCGCAUGCAACGCCACCCGUUUCCCCUCCAUCUGCGUCUCCUCCCUCUCCUCCUCCUCCUCCUCCUCCUCCACCGCUCCCGACAUCAUCUCCGCCGCCGUCUCCGCCGCCGCCGCCGCCCUCCCCGCCGCCGUCUCCGCCGCCAAAGACAUCCUCGCCGCCUCCGCCGCCUCCGUCAACCGCUCCUCCGCCGCCCGGAACUGCCUCGAGCUCCUCUCCCUCUCCUCCCGCCGCCUCUCCUCCGUCUCGCUCCCGCCGUCGUCGUUGCCGGCGGCGCGGGCGAUGGCGUCGGCGGCGCUGCUGUACCAG